CCUACGGGACGCAGCAGUGGGGAAUAUUGGGCAAUGGGCGCAAGCCUGACCCAGCAACGCCGCGUGAAGGAAGAAGGCCCUCGGGUUGUAAACUUCUUUUAACAGGGACGAAGAAAGUGACGGUACCUGUUGAAUAAGCCACGGCUAACUACGUGCCAGCAGCCGCGGUAAUACGUAGGUGGCAAGCGUUAUCCGGAUUUACUGGGUGUAAAGGGCGUGUAGGCGGGAGAGCAAGUCAGACGUGAAAUUCCAGGGCUCAACCCUGGAACUGCGUUUGAAACUGUUCUUCUUGAGUGAUGGAGAGG
rnacentral:rRNA from 1 species